rnacentral:rRNA from 1 species
GAUGAACGCUAGCUACAGGCUUAACACAUGCAAGUCGCGGGGCAGCAUGGGGGUUGCUUGCAAUCCCCGAUGGCGACCGGCGCACGGGUGAGUAACGCGUAUCCAACCUGCCCUUCACCACGGGAUAACCCGGCGAAAGUCGGACUAAUACCGUAUGUUGUCCAUUGACGGCAUCCGAUUUGGACGAAAGGUUUGGCGGUGAAGGAUGGGGAUGCGUCCGAUUAGCUGGACGGCGGGGUGACGGCCCACCGUGGCGACGAUCGGUAGGGGUUCUGAGAGGAAGGUCCCCCACACUGGAACUGAGACACAGUCCAGACUCCUACGGGAGGCAGCAGUGAGGAAUAUUGGUCAAUGGGCGUAAGCCUGAACCAGCCAAGUAGCGUGCAGGAUGACGGCCCUAUGGGUUGUAAACUGCUUUUAUGCGGGGAUAAAGUGGCCCACGUGUGGGUUUUUGCAGGUACCGCAUGAAUAAGGACCGGCUAAUUCCGUG